rnacentral:rRNA from 1 species
CUACGGGGUGCUCCAGUGGGGAAUAUUGCACAAUGGGGGAAACCCUGAUGCAGCAACGCCGCGUGAGUGAUGAAGGCCUUCGGGUCGUAAAACUCUUUUCUUGAGGAAGAAUACUUGACGGUACUCAAGGAAUAAGCCCCGGCUAAUUACGUGCCAGCAGCCGCGGUAAUACGUAAGGGGCAAGCGUUGUCCGGAAUCACUGGGCGUAAAGGGUGCGUAGGUGGUCUUGUAAGUCAGAAGUGAAAGGCUAUGGCUCAACCAUAGUAAGCUUUUGAAACUGCAGGACUUGAGUGCAGGAGAGGAAAGUGGAAUUCCUAGUGUAGCGGUGAAAUGCGUAGAUAUUAGGAGGAACACCAGUGGCGAAGGCGACUUUCUGGACUGUUACUGACACUGAGGCACGAAAGCGUGGGGAGCGAACAGGAUUAGAUACCCCCGUAGUC